CGGGCCGGUUACCUGGCCGCAGCGCGGCGGCUCCCCGCUGGCGGGUGGUUUCGGUCUGGCGGUCCGAGGGCGGAGCCCUGCCUCCCCUGUGAUGUUGGAACCAACCGACGCCGUUCCCGCUGUCGAGCUGGUGGGGGAGGUGGGGUUUCACGGCGGUGUCAUUGAGCCCGGCCUCCUUACCGCCCUUCGGAAGGACCUUCGCCUGGGGCCUGGGGCCGCCGCGGCUCGCGGGACGGGGGCGUUUCCGCGUAGCCUCGGCCGGGAGCGGGCAAGUGGGAGAGAAGGGUCCACAGCGACGAAGGGGCAGGAUGUCGUAACCCCAGGAGGCCUCGUCCGUGGCCAGUGGCGUUUGCUCUUACCAAGCGCUCCACGACCUCGUCGGAGUUUUUGAAGAGGGCGAGCUAAGUUCUUCUUCCCUGAGCCGUGGACAAAACCCCGCCGGAGGCGUGGUGGUUGGUUGUCUCGGCCUGUUGCUGAUCGUUUGGCAGCUCCUUGCUCAGAGCUCUUGUGUAUCUUGGACAAAGCCUGAAGCCUUUGCACUCAACCAACUUUGCCGAAGUUCUUCGGUCUUUAGACCACUGUUCUUACCCCAAGUUUUACACUCGGAGAAAUCAAGGCAGGAGUGAACUUGGCCCUGUAGAGUGACUUCGUGCUUGAUCUGCAUUUUGUAACCAUCAGCGGAAGUUUGAGUGGAGAGAGGAAAGACUCUGCCGUGUUAGAGGCAUCAUUCAACUCCAGGAGUUACUGCCUUUACCGUUAGGGCGCAGCGCUGAGGAAGAGAGAAGUUGUGUGUUUGGGGCUUUCCGAGCUCUGGAAGGAAGGCAGACAUGUCUCUGGAUGACAUUAAGAUGAAAUCUUCUGACUUUCUGGAGAAGGAGGACCUGGAGAGCGGAGGCUUCGGAAAGGUGUCCUUGUGUUUUCACAAAUCCCACGGGCUUGUGAUUCUGAAGAAGGUGUACACGGGCCCCAAGCGCAAUGAGUACAACGAGUCCCUGCUGGAGGAGGGCAGGAUGAUGCACAGGCUGCGACACAGCCGUGUGGUGAGGCUGCUGGGCGUCGUCAUGGAGGAAGGGGACUACUCGCUGGUGAUAGAGUACAUGGCGAAGGGCGACCUCAUGCGGGUGCUCAAGGCCCAGACCCCCGUCCCUCUGUCUGUGAAGGGGAGGAUAGUCAUGGAGACCAUCGAAGGCAUGCGCUACCUGCACGGCGAGGGCGUCAUCCAUAAGGACCUCAAGCCCGAGAACAUCCUCGUUGACGACGACUUUCACAUCAAGAUCGCCGACCUCGGCGUGGCGUCCUUCAAGACGUGGAGCAAACUGACGAAGGAGGAGCAUAACGAGCAGCGGAAGGUGACCAGCACCGCCAAGAAAAACGGGGGCACCCUCCACUACAUGGCCCCCGAGCACCUGAACGACGUCAACGCCAGGCCCUCGGAGAAGUCGGACGUGUACAGCUUCGCCAUCGUGCUCUGGGCCAUAUUCGCCAAUAAGGAGCCCUACGAAAGCAUUGAAGAAAAAUAUAGGCCUUUUUAUUUAAGUCAAUUAGAAGGAAAUGUGGAAGAGGAUGUGAAGAAUUUAAAGAAGGAGUACCCGAGCCAGAACGCCGUCGUGAAGAGGAUGCAGUCUCUGCAGAUUGACUGUGUAGCCGUAGCUCCGAGCAGGUCCAAUUCAGCCCCAGAACAGCCAGGUUCGCUGCACAGCUCGCAGGGCUUCGGGAUGGGCCCCGUGGAGGAGUCCUGGUUUGCCCCCUCCGCGGAGCACCAGCACGAGGAGAACGAGCUCCACCUGCAGAGCAAACUCCAGGAGGAAGCCAACUACCAUCUUUUCGGCAGCCGCAUGGACAGGCGCACCAAGGAGCAGCCGGGUGGCAGCGCGGCCUACGGCGGGGAGGAGGAGAGGCGGCGCAGGGUCUCGCAUGACCCCUUCGCGCAGCAGAGGCCUCACGAGCCGGCCCAGAGCCCCGCGGUGAAAGGCCUCGCCUGUGCCGGUCCUGGUAGCGCCGCCCAGCACCCGGCGGGGCUGAGCAGCCACCCGCAGCCGCUGUACCAGAGCCAUGGGUCGCACAAGCCUCAGGGCCUGGGAGCAAGGCCCCUGGAUCUGGGAGCCGCAGAUCGAAGAGUUUGGUACAUGCCGAGUCAAGGCCACAGGCCAAGCCUGUAUAAGACGCCGGUGCCCGAGACCGACCUGCUGGGCAACACGCCCACCCUGCCCUUCGCCUCCCUGCCAUCAAGAGACGCGUCUCCCAGAUACAUCCUGUACGGCAACUCUGGCGUUCAGAUCGGAGACCACAACUACAUGGAGCUCGGCGGAGCGAGCGUCUCAGUCCUGGACAGCAUGUGCCCGCACGUGAAAGAAGAGCCCGCUUCUAAGUACCAGGCCAUCUUCGAGAACACCACCAGCCUGACGGAUAAACACCUGGACCCAGUCAGGGAAAAUCUGGGAAAGAACUGGAAAAUCUGUGCGCGGAAGCUGGGCCUCACCGAGUCUCAGAUCGACGAGAUCGACCACGACUACGAGCGGGACGGACUCAAAGAAAAGGUUUACCAGAUGCUGCAGAAGUGGCUGAUGAGGGAGGGCAGCAAGGGGGCCACGGUGGGGAAGCUGGCCCGGGCGCUCUACCAGUGCUCCCGGCUGGACCUCCUCAGCUGCCUGAUCCGCAGCAGCCAGAACUAGGCCCCCCGGGCCCNNNNNNNNNNNNNNNNNNNNNNNNNNNNNNNNNNNNNNNNNNNNNNNNNNNNNNNNCCCCCCGCACUCAGGGCCCCCGUGUCUGCGCGGAGCGGUGUCUGCAUCGCACGGCGGGGAGCGGGCGGCCGGGGCGCAAACAACACUAGAAGGAAGGUCCGGCCACGGCCCCGUCGAGAAGAAGCCUCACCGGGUUUUGAAAAGGAGCGAAGCCAUCUUCCGGGUCGUUUGCCUUCAGAUGGUUCCGUAACCUGCAGUUAUGCUGCUCAUUUAGUUCUUGGGGUCUUAUUUGAACAAGAAAAAAAUUCAGAGGACCCGAAGCACGUCGCCUUUCUCACUUUGCACCCUCCUCUCCACGCGGACUCCUGUUAAAACCAAAGUACUGUAAAAUCCUCAGUUCUCCUCAAGUGCGAGGUCUGGCACCACAGCCACGGUUCCCUCUAAAGUGUCUGUUAACUCGAGGAUCAAAUUCUGCAUCAGUCACCACAGGCUUUAAGAAGUACAUGCAGUCGCAGUUCCUUGUGGCUCGGCGGUAAUGAACCCGACCCGUGUUCAUGAGGAAGCGGGUUCGAUCCUGGCCUUGCUUAGUGGGUUGAGGAUCUGGUGUCAGCGUGAGCUGUGCUAUGGGUCGCAGGUUUGGCUUGGAUCCCAUGUUGCUGGGGCUGUGGUGUAGGCCGUCAGCUGCAGUUCCACAGCUCUGAUUCGACCCUUAGCCUGGAAACUUCCAUGUGCCGCAGGUGCGGCCCUAAAAA
ensembl:lncRNA